CUCAGGAUGAACGCUAGCUACAGGCUUAACACAUGCAAGUCGAGGGGCAGCAUUUUAGUUUGCUUGCAAACUAAAGAUGGCGACCGGCGCACGGGUGAGUAACACGUAUCCAACCUGCCGAUAACUCGGGGAUAGCCUUUCGAAAGAAAGAUUAAUAUCCGAUAGUAUAUUAAAACCGCAUGGUUUUACUAUUAAAGAAUUUCGGUUAUCGAUGGGGAUGCGUUCCAUUAGUUUGUUGGCGGGGUGACGGCCCACCAAGACUACGAUGGAUAGGGGUUCUGAGAGGAAGGUCCCCCACAUUGGAACUGAGACACGGUCCAAACUCCUACGGGAGGCAGCAGUGAGGAAUAUUGGUCAAUGGACGAGAGUCUGAACCAGCCAAGUAGCGUGAAGGAUGACUGCCCUAUGGGUUGUAAACUUCUUUUAUAUGGGAAUAAAGUAUUCCACGUGUGGGAUUUUGUAUGUACCAUAUGAAUAAGGAUCGGCUAACUCCGUGCCAGCAGCCGCGGUAAUACGGAGGAUCCGAGCGUUAUCCGGAUUUAUUGGGUUUAAAGGGAGCGUAGGUGGAUUGUUAAGUCAGUUGUGAAAGUUUGCGGCUCAACCGUAAAAUUGCAGUUGAAACUGGCAGUCUUGAGUACAGUAGAGGUGGGCGGAAUUCGUGGUGUAGCGGUGAAAUGCUUAGAUAUCACGAAGAACUCCGAUUGCGAAGGCAGCUCACUAGACUGCAACUGACACUGAUGCUCGAAAGUGUGGGUAUCAAACAGGAUUAGAUACCCUGGUAGUCCACACAGUAAACGAUGAAUACUCGCUGUUUGCGAUAUACAGUAAGCGGCCAAGCGAAAGCAUUAAGUAUUCCACCUGGGGAGUACGCCGGCAACGGUGAAACUCAAAGGAAUUGACGGGGGCCCGCACAAGCGGAGGAACAUGUGGUUUAAUUCGAUGAUACGCGAGGAACCUUACCCGGGCUUAAAUUGCAUUUGAAUAAUCUGGAAACAGGUUAGCCGCAAGGCAAAUGUGAAGGUGCUGCAUGGUUGUCGUCAGCUCGUGCCGUGAGGUGUCGGCUUAAGUGCCAUAACGAGCGCAACCCUUAUCUUUAGUUACUAACAGGUCAUGCUGAGGACUCUAGAGAGACUGCCGUCGUAAGAUGUGAGGAAGGUGGGGAUGACGUCAAAUCAGCACGGCCCUUACGUCCGGGGCUACACACGUGUUACAAUGGGGGGUACAGAAGGCAGCUACCUGGCGACAGGAUGCUAAUCCCAAAAACCUCUCUCAGUUCGGAUCGAAGUCUGCAACCCGACUUCGUGAAGCUGGAUUCGCUAGUAAUCGCGCAUCAGCCAUGGCGCGGUGAAUACGUUCCCGGGCCUUGUACACACCGCCCGUCAAGCCAUGAAAGCCGGGGGUACCUGAAGUACGUAACCGCAAGGAGCGUCCUAGGGUAAAACUG
rnacentral:rRNA from 1 species